rnacentral:rRNA from 1 species
GAUGAACGCUAGCUACAGGCUUAACACAUGCAAGUCGAGGGGAAACGAUAUUGGAAGCUUGCUUCCGAUAGGCGUCGACCGGCGCACGGGUGAGUAACGCGUAUCCAACCUGCCCAUCACUUGGGGAUAACCUUGCGAAAGUAAGACUAAUACCCAAUGACGUCUCUAGAAGACAUCUGAAAGAGAUUAAAGAUUUAUCGGUGAUGGAUGGGGAUGCGUCUGAUUAGCUUGUUGGCGGGGUAACGGCCCACCAAGGCGACGAUCAGUAGGGGUUCUGAGAGGAAGGUCCCCCACAUUGGAACUGAGACACGGUCCAAACUCCUACGGGAGGCAGCAGUGAGGAAUAUUGGUCAAUGGACGAGAGUCUGAACCAGCCAAGUAGCGUGCAGGAUGACGGCCCUAUGGGUUGUAAACUGCUUUAUAAGGGAAUAAAGUGGGAGUCGUGACUCUUUUGCAUGUACCUUAUGAAUAAGGACCGGCUAAUUCCGUGCCAGCAGCCG